rnacentral:rRNA from 1 species
CACGUAGGAGGCAAGCGUUGUUCGGAAUUAUUGGGCGUAAAGGGCAUGUAGGCGGUUUUGUAAGCCUGGUGUGAAAUCCUGCAGCUUAACUGUAGAAUUGCAUCGGGUACUGCAAGACUUGAAUCACAGAGGGGAAACUAGAAUUCCAGGUGUAGGGGUGGAAUCUGUAGAUAUCUGGAAGAAUACCGGUGGCGAAGGCGGGUUUCUAGCUGAUGAUUGACGCUGAGGUGCGAAAGUGCGGGGAGCAAACAGG